rnacentral:misc_RNA from 1 species
AACGAGGCCGACCUGCGGCUGAGUUACCUGCGGAAGGAUCAUUACCGAGUUUACAACUCCCAAACCCCUGUGAACAUACCUAUACGUUGCCUCGGCGGAUCAGCCCGCGCCCCGUAAAAAGGGACGGCCCGCCCGAGGACCCCUAAACUCUGUUUUUAGUGGAACUUCUGAGUAAAACAAACAAAUAAAUCAAAACUUUCAACAACGGAUCU